rnacentral:misc_RNA from 1 species
GUAGGUGAACCUGCGGAAGGAUCAUUAUUGAAUUUUAAUGAAGGGAUUUGGUUGUAGCUGGCUCAUUAAUUCUGGGCAUGUGCACACCUUUCUCUUUCAUCAUCCACACACACCUGUGCACCUGUGAGGCAGAUGGGGAAAUUUACUAAUUGUUUUUUAAGAAUAAUUGGUGUUGGACCCUCUGUCUACUAAAUCCAUAUAAACUCAAUAUUUUAUUAAAAAUGAAUGUAAUGGAUGUAACGCAUCUAAU